rnacentral:rRNA from 1 species
CGUUUGGUGACCAGCGG